rnacentral:lncRNA from 1 species
CAACUACACUAAAAAUACAUAUAGGUCAAAAUUAUUCAGCUGUACUAAAAAUACAUAUCAACUAUACUAAAAAUACAUAUCACCUAUACUAGAAAAAUAUAUAUCCAAAUACUAUUCAUGAGUAGUUAAUUCAACAAUAUAUGUUCACAUAAUCCCUAAAUAUCAUCAUAACAGAAAAUAUAUAAUUACUUGAACACAAAAAAAAUAAUACAUUUACAAACAAAAAAAAUACCUCUUCCUCACUUUC